GGCGGAGUAGCUCAGAGGUUAGAGCAGUGGCUUCAUAAGCCAUGUGUCGGCGGUUCAAAUCCGCCCUCCGCUACAA
rnacentral:tRNA from 1 species